AUACGGAAGGUCCGGGCGUUAUCCGGAUUUAUUGGGUUUAAAGGGAGCGCAGGCGGAGAUGCAAGCGUGACGUCAAAUUUCGGGGCGCAACCCCGUCUCGCGUCGCGAACUGCGUCCCUUGGUUGCGGGAAGGGGAGGCGGAACUCGGGGUGUAGCUGGGAAAUGCAUAGAUAUCACGAAGAACUCCGAUCGCGAAGGCAGCCUUCCGGCCCGUCAACGACGCUCAUGCUCGAAGGUGCGGGUAUCAAACAGGAUUAGAUACCCUGGUAGUCCGCACAGUAAACGAUGGACACCCGCGGUUUGGCCUGUAUGGCUGAGCCGCCAAGCGAAAGCGUUAAGUGUCCCACCUGGGGAGUACGCCGGCAACGGUGAAACUCAAAGGAAUUGACGGGG
rnacentral:rRNA from 1 species